UCGCAAUCAGCUGAAAGUGCUUGUGAUAUUUGCCAGCUGAUUGCAUGCGACAACGUUUGGUCUGUAGUACGGUUAAGCUCGGGCAAGUGUUUUGUCGCAUGCGAAUCACUUCAGAAUAGUAAACACAAAACCGGAAAUACAAACCGCCGUACUGAAAGUCGGGUUAAUAACACGACACGAGGACAAAAACAGCUGACAACAGGUAAAGUUGCCACUUCCUGCAACGACCAGUCAGGGAUGAUAUCAUCACGCACUCUACUUUGCAUCCCCUCAGAGCAUAAACUCACAAUAGCUGAGUUGAGCGGAGCUUGUUACAUGGUUGAUGUUUGUUUAUUGGAUGGGCCGAUGCCAGGAUGAAACCCGGACUGCAAUCAGGGAGACAGCAGGACGCAGCUGGGCCCUGAGUGAGGUCAUUGGAUUGACUGAGAAAAAGUUGCACAGUAUAGUGUUAUGGAUGAGUCGGAGCAGAGGAAUGGAGAGGAGCAGAGGAAUGGAGAGGAGCAGAGGAAUGGAGAGGAGCAGAGGAAUGGAGAGGAGCAGAGGAGCA